AAACGGCCAAGCCCAGUUCUAACCCUACAGUAUUCGAAUUACGUUCAACCCGGAAUAAGGCGGAAAAACUGAUAUUGAUAAUUUGAUACGCGCGAAAAGGAGGGAGGAGAGAGAGUGAGAGAGAGCGACGAAUACGAACAGGCAGAAAACUUCAGCAAAUUUCAAUUACUUCACUCAUUCAUACAAAUGGGGAUUAAGGGUUUAACGAAGCUACUUGCGGAUAAUGCACCUAAGUGUAUGAAAGAGCAGAAAUUCGAGAGUUAUUUUAACAGGAAAAUCGCUAUUGAUGCUAGCAUGAGCAUUUAUCAAUUCCUUAUUGUUGUUGGGAGAACCGGGACCGAGAUGCUUACAAAUGAAUCUGGGGAAGUUACUAGUCACUUGCAGGGCAUGUUUUCACGAACUAUUAGGCUGCUGGAAGCGGGAAUAAAGCCUGUCUAUGUUUUUGAUGGGCUGCCACCGGAUUUGAAGAAACAAGAACUUGCCAAACGCUAUGCCAAACGAGCUGAUGCUACUGACGAUUUGACAGAUGCUAUUGAGAAAGGUGAUAAAGAAAGUAUUGAGAAGUACAGUAAACGAACGGUGAAGGUGACGAAACAACACAAUGAUGACUGCAAAAAACUUUUAGGCUUGAUGGGAGUUCCUGUGGUUGAGGCUCCGUGUGAAGCAGAGGCACAAUGUGCUGCCCUUUGUAAAUCUGGAAAAGUUUACGCUGUUGCUUCUGAAGAUAUGGAUUCUCUUACUUUCGGGGCUCCCAAAUUUCUCCGUCAUUUGAUGGAUCCAAGCUCGAAGAAAAUUCCAGUCAUGGAGUUUCAAAUGGCACAGGUCUUGGAGGAGCUAAAUCUUACAAUGGAUCAAUUCAUUGACUUGUGCAUUCUCUCUGGCUGUGAUUACUGUGAGAGCAUAAAAGGUAUUGGUGGACUGACUGCAUUGAAGCUCAUUCGUCAACAUGGAUCCAUAGAGAACAUACUUGAGAACUUAAAUAAAGAGAGGUAUCAGAUACCUGACAAUUGGCCGUAUCAGGAUGCCCGACUCUUAUUCAAAGAACCUCUAGUGCUGUCUAGUAAUGAGGAACCUGAACUCAAGUGGGGCCCUCCUGAUGAAGAGGGUUUGGUGAACUUUCUAGUGAAGGAGAAUGGCUUUAAUAUUGAUAGAGUAACGAAGGCGAUAGAAAAGAUUAAGGCAGCUAAGAGCAAGUCAUCACAAGGACGGUUGGAGUCAUUCUUCAAACCUGUUGCCACUGAUUCCGCUCCCAUCAAAAGGAAGGGAACUAAAUGCAUGCUUGGCUCUUUCAAAAAAGGAAAAAGUUCCAGCUUCUAUUCUUCACAAGCUUUCCGUCAGUGUCAGAAUGGAAUACAUGCUGCCUUUAGGCUGCAGCCUGUGGUAUUGGGCUCCAAACACUUGGGAUCAUCAUUUCCCGUCCUCUUCUUGGGCACAUGAUUGCUGACUCUUCUGGAAAAGGUGGAUGCCCCAAAGGGUACAUCAAAUAAAAAGCAGAAGAGUGGUGGAAGGAAGAAGUAGUGUUCUGCAUAGAGGUCCAAAGUGCAUUACUACUGUAAUAAUGUUGAUUGUGCUGGAUGGGUUCCAUUUGAUAUGAUGAUACCCGCAUUUUCUUUGUGUUGUAAACCUCUGAGCUAAGGAGCAUUGUUAUUUUAUUGUGCACAAAUGUAAAUUUUGUUGGCUUUAGGUAAUGCAGUAGAUUUCUUUCUCUUCACUCUAUGUUUUCGGGUCAGAUUAACAAGUUGCAUAUUUGUCUACUAUUGUACCUAAUUGGUCGAUCACUGUCAUUAUUCUCGUUUUUUAACUCUUCUACCA